rnacentral:rRNA from 1 species
GACGAACGCUGGCGGCGUGCUUAACACAUGCAAGUCGAACGGAAAGGCCCUGCUUUUGUGGGGUGCUCGAGUGGCGAACGGGUGAGUAACACGUGAGUAACCUGCCCUUGACUUUGGGAUAACUUCAGGAAACUGGGGCUAAUACCGGAUAGGAGCUCCUGCUGCAUGGUGGGGGUUGGAAAGUUUCGGCGGUUGGGGAUGGACUCGCGGCUUAUCAGCUUGUUGGUGGGGUAGUGGCUUACCAAGGCUUUGACGGGUAGCCGGCCUGAGAGGGUGACCGGCCACAAUGGGACUGAGAGACGGCCCAGACUCCUACGGGAGGCAACAGUGGGGAAUAUUGCACAAUGGGCGGAAGCCUGAUGCAGCAACGCCGCGUGCGGGAUGACGGCCUUCGGGUUGUAAACCGCUUUCGCCUGUGACGAAGCGUGAGUGACGGUAAUGGGUAAAGAAGCACCGGCUAACUACGUG